rnacentral:rRNA from 1 species
GACAGAGGAUGCAAGCGUUAUCCGGAAUGAUUGGGCGUAAAGCGUCUGUAGGUGGCUUUUCAAGUCCGCCGUCAAAUCCCAGGGCUCAACCCUGGACAGGCGGUGGAAACUACCAAGCUGGAGUACGGUAGGGGCAGAGGGAAUUUCCAGUGGAGCGGUGAAAUGUGUAGAUAUUGGAAAGACCACCGAUGGCGAAGGCACUCUACUGGGCCAUGACUGACACUGAGAGACGAAAGCUAGGGGAGCAAAUGGG